CCUUCUCUAGGAGAGAGGUCAUAAAAAAAUUUACCUUCUUCUACCAACCUGUUCUUCAUGUUACAGACUCCAUUGAGAACCUCUCCUUUCACCCAUCAAGAGGCUCUACAAACAGACUUAUUUUUAUUGAACUCUGGGAUUCAGGGGACCCCAGAAACAAAUGAACUCCAAAGGCCAGUAUCUGCAGAGCUGAUGGCACUGGAAGCCUAUUGAACCAUCCUGAAUCCUCUAUAAAGGAGGUCAGGUCAGCAAAGUUAUAGGAAUGGAAAAGUGAUUCCUUCUAAGUAGGAACUACAGGAAAUGGUCCUCCAAAAGUAGCCCUGGUUCUAGAAAGGAAAUAUGGGAUAUAGCGGGGUGGGGAUGGGAUAAAAUGCUCUGGGAGAAGAUGGACUACAAUAGGAUGGUGUAGAAUAGGUUGAGGUGGCUUCAGACAUAGUCACAACAUUUCUAUCUUAGGGACAGAGGAUAAAUCUGUGAUUCCAUCAAAGAAGAGAGCUCCCAGAGAGGAUCUUCUUCUACCAGUUCAGGGUCCACUUCAGUGAUCUCCUGAUCCAAAGCAGAGACCUCAGGGAUAUAGUUACACCUUCUUUCUCUUUCUUCUUCCUGCAAUUUGAUGGAGAUAACUCUCACAAGGCCUCCCUGGAUCGGCUUCAUCAGAUGAAUAAUAUAUUCUGCAAUCUUGUUGCAAAGCUUCUUGCAGAGGAUGAUGGUGAUCUUCCUGCACACAGUUGUUGCCCAGAUACACAUAAAAGGAUACAGAAGACUGGAGGACUCUGUUAUCCCCUUGUUCAGAUGCCCUCGAUGCUUUCCCACAGCCUAUGGGGAAGAUGCUAAGACAAGAAUGGGCACUCGCUGGAAUUCCCAGAAGCAAUACGCACAGCAGGCAGUGCAGGGACCUGUCACUGAGGAAAAGAGGAGGAAGAUGGGAGAGAGGAAAAUGUGAAGAUGAGAAUAUGGACCUAAAAUAAGAUACAACUGAAAUUUUGUAAAGAUAACAAACCUGCCCAGGUACUCACUUAUUCAAGAACCUCCAGUGAUUCCUUAUUGUCUUCAGGGUAAAAUAAAAUUUCUCAGCUUAGUUUUUAAAAAUUCUUA
rnacentral:lncRNA from 1 species